rnacentral:tmRNA from 1 species
GGGGCUGAUUCUGGAUUCGACGGGAUUUGCGAAACCCAAGGUGCAUGCCGAGGGGCGGUUGGCCUCGUACAAAGCCGCAAAAAAAUAGUCGCAAACGACGAAACCUACGCUUUAGCAGCUUAAUAACCUGCUUAGAGCCCUCUCUCCCUAGCCUCCGCUCUUAGGACGGGGAUCAAGAGAGGUCAAACCCAAAAGAGAUCGCGCGGAUGCCCUGCCUGGGGUUGAAGCGUUAAAACGAAUCAGGCUAGUCUGGUAGUGGCGUGUCCGUCCGCAGGUGCCAGGCGAAUGUAAAGACUGACUAAGCAUGUAGUACCGAGGAUGUAGGAAUUUCGGACGCGGGUUCAACUCCCGCCAGCUCCACCA